rnacentral:rRNA from 1 species
UCUCAAAGAUUAAGCCAUGCAUGUGUAAGUGUAAAUGUUUAAGUUUGGAACUGCGAAUGGCUCAUUAUAUCAGUUAUAGUUUAUUUGGUGAAGUGUACUACUUGGAUAACCGUAGUAAUUCUAGGGCUAAUACAUGAGAAAGUCCUCUGGUGAGGUGUGUUUAUUAGAAUGAAAACCAUAUGCUUCGGCAUGAUAGUGAGUAAUAGUAACCUAUCGUAUCGCAUGCUUAAUGUAGCGAUGAGUCUUUCAAGUUUCUGCCCUAUCAGCUUUCGAUGGUAGUAUAUGGGCCUACCAUGGCAGU